rnacentral:rRNA from 1 species
GAUCAUGGCUCAGGAUGAACGCUAGCUACAGGCUUAACACAUGCAAGUCGAGGGGCAGCGGGAAGUCAGCUUGCUGACUUUGCCGGCGACCGGCGCACGGGUGAGUAACGCGUAUCCAACCUGCCCACCACUUGGGGAUAACCUUGCGAAAGUAAGACUAAUACCCAAUGAUAUCUCUAGAAGACAUCUGAAAGAGAUUAAAGAUUUAUCGGUGAUGGAUGGGGAUGCGU